CGUAAGAAAAUAGUCCAUCAUGGCCGACCAAGAAGAUGUUUAAACAACCAAGAGAUAUGUUAGUCCAAAGACAGAAUGACGAGCGAACUUUUACCACUUAUUUGUGUAGAAGAGUAUGGUACCAGGGGUGCAGCUGACUCUGAUUCCCGGCUUGUUCUAAUGAAAAAAGGCAGAUGAGGCACUGGAAUCCGAAUGUAAUCAAAAAUGCCAUUGUAUGAGGAUUGACCUGCAAUGCAUGGCAAUCAUCUUAACACAACUGCAACGCCUUCCUUGGAAAAAUGAGUGCAAGAUGGAAACAAAGCGUUCAGUGGAACAUCUUGUCAUCUCAAAUAUUUGAUGACUUACAUACUGAUGUGAAGUUAAAGAUAAAAGUCAUCUGUUGGUCCGUGAUUAUUAAAUAAAUCCGAACUUAUAUU